GGUGACUGGCUGACCACAAUCACCCCGAGGAUUUAGAACCUAAUGCUUCUCCUUGAGCCUGGUUUGCCCAGGUAUUCCGACUAAUCUUCUGCUUCACUGUCACCUUUAUUCUUGGCUUGAGUAAGCAGUAAGUUUAUUGCCGUACGCCCUGUGGGUAUUCCAUAAAUACUUGUUGACUGCCUGGCAAUAGAAGUGUUGAAAUUAUUUCCUGAAUGAGGGAACAGGUGUGGCGAGGUUAGAGAAGGUAGGUAAGACCCAAGACUGUCCCACAUAGAGAAGCUAGGUAAGACCCAAGACUGUCCCACAGUUGCCUAGCAACCAGGAGGGUGCUCAGCUGCCAUACAGUUGCCUCUGCCUCUAAUAACUCACCCUUUCCAAUGAACUAGAACAGUCCACCUCAGAUUAGCAUCCAGUGAUGAUGCUCAUCUCAGUUAGGCUGCUUCACAGGUCCCAGUAUUGAUUCAAACUCUUGACAAUCCUAAGUAAAACAGUCGCGAGUCAGUCAGGGUCAUAGGAAGACCUUGAAAUUCCUGAGGGCACUAAGCUGAUCUUAUAGCUAUUUAUUGAACACUUACUAUAUUCCCACACAGGGAUUGAAGAUAGUGCUAGGGAUAAGACAGAUCCAUUCCCCCCCCACCCCUAAUUUUAUAAAACAGUGUGUCUAUCAGAUCUUACUGGGGGUCUCCUGAAUAAAAGGCUCAAUUCAGCAGAAAAUAAUUUUUAAAAAAAUGUCAUACAUGGUCCUAUAUUCAAAGAGCUCAUGAUCCCACACAACAGUGAAUAAGCAGCUUACCAAAAAAGCCACAGAAUCCUGCAAGUCGAC
rnacentral:lncRNA from 1 species